rnacentral:rRNA from 1 species
AGAGUUUGAUCCUGGCUCAGGAUGAACGCUAGCGGCAGGCUUAACACAUGCAAGUCGAGGGGUAACAUUGUAGCUUGCUACAGAUGACGACCGGCGCACGGGUGCGUAACGCGUAUACAAUCUACCUUAUACUGAAGGAUAGCCCAGAGAAAUUUGGAUUAACACUUCAUGGUAUUACACAAUCGCAUGGUUAUGUAAUUAAAGGUUACGGUAUAAGAUGAGUAUGCGUCCUAUUAGCUAGAUGGUAAGGUAACGGCUUACCAUGGCAACGAUAGGUAGGGGCCCUGAGAGGGGGAUCCCCCACACUGGUACUGAGACACGGACCAGACUCCUACGGGAGGCAGCAGUGAGGAAUAUUGGGCAAUGGAGGCAACUCUGACCCAGCCAUGCCGCGUGCAGGAAGACUGCCCUAUGGGUUGUAAACUGCUUUUAUACAGGAAGAAACACUCCCUCGAGUAGGGAGCUUGACGGUACUGUAAGAAUAAGGAUCGGCUAACUCCGUGCCAGCAGCCGCGGUAAUACGGAGGAUCCAAGCGUUAUCCGGAAUCAUUGGGUUUAAAGGGUCCGUAGGUGGAUAAUUAAGUCAGAGGUGAAAUCCUGCAGCUCAACUGUAGAAUUGCCUUUGAAACUGGUUAUCUUGAGUCAUUAUGAAGUGGUUAGAAUGUGUAGUGUAGCGGUGAAAUGCAUAGAUAUUACACA